UGGGGGAUAUUGCACAAUGGGCGAAAGCCUGAUGCAGCGACGCCGCGUGGGGGAUGAAGGCUUUCGGGUUGUAAACCUCUUUCGCUAUCGAACAAGGCCCGCUUAGGGUGGGUUGAGGGUAGGUGGAGAAGAAGCGCCGGCUAACUACGUGCCAGCAGCCGCGGUAAUACGUAGGGCGCGAGCGUUGUCCGGAAUUAUUGGGCGUAAAGGGCUUGUAGGCGGCUUGUUGCGCCUGCUGUGAAAACGCGGGGCUUAACUUCGCGCGUGCAGUGGGUACGGGCAGGCUUGAGUGUGGUAGGGGUGACUGGAAUUCCAGGUGUAGCGGUGGAAUGCGAAGAUAUCUGGAGGAACACCGAUGGCGAAGGCAGGUCACUGGGCCAUUACUGACGCUGAGGAGAGAAAGCAUGGGUAGCGAACAGG
rnacentral:rRNA from 1 species